GCAUGCUGGUGCAGUGGGCAGCAUUGUUGUUUCACGGCAACAAAAGAGCAUAGUGGGUUCGAAACCCACUUAGCG